rnacentral:rRNA from 1 species
UACGUAGGGUGCGAGCGUUGUCCGGAAUUAUUGGGCGUAAAGGGCUCGUAGGCGGUUUGUCGCGUCGGGAGUGAAAACCUUGGGCUUAACUCAGGGCUUGCUUUCGAUACGGGCAGACUAGAGGUAUGCAGGGGAGAACGGAAUUCCUGGUGUAGCGGUGAAAUGCGCAGAUAUCAGGAGGAACACCGGUGGCGAAGGCGGUUCUCUGGGACGGUACUGACGCUGAGGCGCGAAAGCGUGGGGAGCAAACAGG